rnacentral:rRNA from 1 species
UACGUAGGGGGCAAGCGUUGUCCGGAUUUACUGGGCGUAAAGCGCCUGUAGGCGGCCUGUCAAGUCCGGCCUGAAAGCCCCCGGCUCAACCGGGGAGGGUGGCUGGAAACUGGCAGGCUUGAGGGCGAGAGAGGAGGGUGGAAUUCCUGGUGUAGCGGUGAAAUGCGCAGAUAUCGGGAAGAAUACCCGUGGCGAAGGCGGUUCUCUGGGACGGUACUGACGCUGAGACGCGAAAGCGUGGGAGCGAACAGG